UAUCGAUUCCCGGCAUAUCUAGCUUACCUCGGAGUGACGGACUUGCAGGACCAGCCACCGGGACUGAUACUCUUAUGACUCCUGGCAUCCCCCGGAUACCUGAGGAUGAUGGACCUACAGGACCAGCCGUUGUGCCUGAUGCUACUACAGUUUCUGGGACUGAUAGUUUGCCUAAGAGCGGUGUUUCCCCGCCACAGCCGAGAGG